rnacentral:rRNA from 1 species
UACGUAGGGUCCGAGCGUUGUCCGGAAUUAUUGGGCGUAAAGGGCGCGUAGGCGGCCAUGCGUGUCUUCCGUGAAAUCCCUCGGCUUAACUGAGGACGUGCGGAAGAAACUGUAAGGCUUGAGUCCGGGAGAGGGGGGUGGAAUUCCCAGUGUAGCGGUGAAAUGCGUAGAUAUUGGGAGGAACACCGGUGGCGAAGGCGGCCCCCUGGACCGGUACUGACGCUGAUGAGCGAAAGCCAGGGGAGCAAACGGG